rnacentral:rRNA from 1 species
AGCGAACGCUGGCGGCAGGCUUAACACAUGCAAGUCGAGCGGGCGUAGCAAUACGUCAGCGGCAGACGGGUGAGUAACACGUGGGAACGUACCUUUUGGUUCGGAACAACACAGGGAAACUUGUGCUAAUACCGAAUAAGCCCUUACGGGGAAAGAUUUAUCGCCGAAAGAUCGGCCCGCGUCUGAUUAGCUUGUUGGUGAAGUAACGGCUCACCAAGGCGACGAUCAGUAGCGGUCUGAGAGGAUGAUCAGCCACACUGGGACUGAGACACGGCCCAGACUCCUACGGGAGGCAGCAGUGGGGGAAUAUCGGACAAUGGGGGCGAACCCUGAUCCAGCCAUGCCGCGUGAGUGAUGAAGGCCCUACGGGUUGUAAACCUCUUUCAGCUCCGACGAAGCGAGAGUGACGUAGGAGCAGAAGAAGCACCGGCC